CAGGCAUGGCGGGCUGCAGGACCCGAGCCCUGCCACGCGGGAAGGCAGCUCAUUUAUGGAAGGUCAUCCAUUUAUUGAGACCAGCCCAAAAGACCCUCAGGAACUUAGAAGACUCCUACCGACUUUGAAGACCAUAGCCCCAAAGCAGGGCUGUGAAAUGGAGCAGCAAAGAAGAGAAUCAUUGUCAAAGCUCAAGUUCCAUCAGAAUGACAAAGUAAUGGAGACUUGAUUUCCAGCAAUCAGAAAAGCCUCACCAAGCUUGCUUAUCCUUUCCUACCUGGAGUGAGACCCACACCG